GCUUGAUUAAAAAAUGUCGUAGCCAAAGGAAAGGCAGAUGUUUUGAUGGAAGAUGUGAAAGAUGUUGCAACGGUUGUGACUGUCGAGAAAAUUAAGGAAAAAUCUGAAAUGGAAGCCAAUACUUCAGAAGGUAAGAUGGAAACUGAUGCAAAACGAAACAAGAAAUGCCUCCUUAAUGAACACGGUCAAUAUCCAGCCUGGAUGAACCCAAGGCAUCAAAAGAAGCUGAGAACUCAACGAGGGAAGAAGAAAGGGAAAACAAAACCUCACAAAGGAUUAGCAUGGUA